rnacentral:rRNA from 1 species
AUUGAACGCUGGCGGCAUGCCUUACACAUGCAAGUCGAACGGCAGCACGGGAGCUUGCUCCUGGUGGCGAGCGGCGGACGGGUGAGUAAUGCCUAGGAAUCUGCCUGGUAGUGGGGGAUAACGUCCGGAAACGGACGCUAAUACCGCAUACGUCCUACGGGAGAAAGUGUGGGAUCUUCGGAACUCACGCUAUCAGCUGAUGCUAGGUCGGAUUAGGUAGUUGGUGGGGUAAAGGCUCACCAAGGCGACGAUCCGUAACUGGGCUGAGAGGAUGAUAAGUCACACUGGAACUGAGACACGGUCCAGGCUCCUACGGGAGGCAGCAGUGGGGAAUAUUGGACAAUGGGCGAAAGCCUGAUCCAGCCAUGCCGCGUGUGUGAAGAAGGUCUUCGGAUUGUAAAGCACUUUAAGUUGGGAGGAAGGGCAGUAAGUUAAUACCUUGCUGUUUUGACGUUACCAACAGAAUAAGCACCGGCUAACUUCGUGCCAGCCGCCGCAGUAAUAC